CGCAAUGGGCGCAAGCCUGACGGAGCAAGACCGCGUGCGGGAGGACGGCCUAUUGGUUGUAAACCGCUUUUGAUAGGGAAGAAGUUCUGACGGUACCUAUCGAAUCAGCAUCGGCUAACUCCGUGCCAGCAGCCGCGGUAAUACGGAGGAUGCAAGCGUUAUCCGGAAUUAUUGGGCGUAAAGCGUCCGUAGGUGGUUGUUCAAGUCUGCUGUUAAAGCGUGCGGCUUAACCGCAUACCAGCAGUGGAAACUGGGCGACUAGAGUGCGGUAGGGGUCAGGGGAAUUCCCAGUGUAGCGGUGAAAUGCGUAGAUAUUGGGAAGAACACCGGUGGCGAAAGCGCCU
rnacentral:rRNA from 1 species